GACGAACGCUGGCGGCAGGCUUAACACAUGCAAGUCGAGCGGAGCGAGGGUGCUUGCACCUUAGCUUAGCGGCGGACGGGUGAGUAAUGCUUAGGAAUCUGCCUAUUAGUGGGGGACAACAUUCCGAAAGGGAUGCUAAUACCGCAUACGUCCUACGGGAGAAAGCAGGGGAUCUUCGGACCUUGCGCUAAUAGAUGAGCCUAAGUCGGAUUAGCUAGUUGGUGGGGUAAAGGCCUACCAAGGCGACGAUCUGUAGCGGGUCUGAGAGGAUGAUCCGCCACACUGGGACUGAGACACGGCCCAGACUCCUACGGGAGGCAGCAGUGGGGAAUAUUGGACAAUGGGCGCGAGCCUGAUCCAGCCAUGCCGCGUGUGUGAAGAAGGCCUUAUGGUUGUAAAGCACUUUAAGCGAGGAGGAGGCUACUUUAGUUAAUACCUAGAGAUAGUGGACGUUACUCGCAGAAUAAGCACCGGCUAACUCUGUGCCAGCCGCCGCAGUAACAC
rnacentral:rRNA from 1 species